UCUGACACAGGUGGCAGGGCUGGAUCUGUCCCCGUGCCCCUGACACAGUGGCAGGGUAGAUCUCAGGUCACUGGCUGCUUCCAGGCUCUGCUAUCACUCAGCUCCUCAGUCCUGCCCUCACUGCAGUGUUUCCUACACAGUCCCACCAAACCCCACCGGUACCUAAGUCCCUUUUUCUCUCUGUAUGGACAGGUCAGCUGCAGACUGUCCAGCCAGGUGCAGGCAGCAGUUCCAAGGAUGGCAGAGGACAAAGUGGCUGGCAUUUGCUGAUAAUGAAGAAUACAGUGGGCUUCUGUGGAAAUAUUAUUCUACAAGGACACUUUCAGCCAGGCAGAUGCAGCCCGUCCUGUGGCUGCACAACCAUCCGCAUGUGAAGGAGCUAUGAGUUGAGAAGAUUUUUUAAACAAUCUCUGAAGAAGUGGCACAAACUGAAAAGUGGGAUGAGCAACCCCAACAACGGCUGUAUUGUUACCAGGAGUCACCAAUGACAGCAAAUCUGCUUUGUCUAUGACUAGAUUAUACUGCAGAUACAGCCAUGAACAGUAUGUGAAGCUGUUUGUUAGGUCAAUAAAAAAAGAUUAUAUUCCCCUUUUGAAUU
rnacentral:lncRNA from 12 species